GAUGAACGCUGACAGCAUGCUUAACACAUGCAAGUCAACUGUGGCGGACGGGUGAGUAACGCGUACAGAACUUGCCUCACAGUUAGGGACAACAUUUGGAAACGCAUGCUAAUACCUGAUACUGUUAGAGAGCUUUGCCUCCCAUUGGCUAGUCGGAGAGGUAACGGCUCACCAGGGCUAUGAUGGGUAGCCGGCCUGAGAGGGUGAUCGACCACAAGGGGACUGAGACACGGCCCUUACUCCUACGGGAGGCAGCAGUGGGGAAUAUUGGACAAUGGACCAAAGUCUGAUCCAGCAGUUCUGUGUGCAAGAUGAAGUUUUCGGAAUGUAAAGUGAUUACAGUUGGGAAGCGGUACCAACAGAAGAAGGGACGGCUAAAUACGUGCCAGCCGCCGCGGUAAUAC
rnacentral:rRNA from 1 species